GACCCAGCCCUUCCGUCUGCGUGCCCCAGGGCCAGCUCAUUCCAGCCAGCUGCGGGCCACCUCAAGGGUUCCACUCAGAGUAUAAUCAAAUCGUGAUCGACCGAGGCCAUCGGCACCGCCUCUCUGCAACCUCUGCACAGCCUCUGUGCUGCUGCCCCCGGGGCGAUCGUAGGAUCCAGAAGCUGCCAGCAAGCAAGCAAGCCCUCCUCAAAAGCGCUGCUCGGUGGGACUCCUUCCUGCUGCACCUCAUCCUUCCUGGAGGCGGUGCGACAGCCCGCGCCUCCCCCUGCCAGGAAAGGGAUCCGUCCCCGCCAGAAGCGGGGAGAUGAGGCGGCCUCAAGGAUUUCAGAAUGACUACCCAAUAGAUAUGAUACCUCUGGACUCCCAUAACACAGGUAACACGACCUCUCCUGACAACUGUGGCUAAGUUAAUCUACUACCUGGUGGGUCAGCACAACCCAGAGGACUGUUCCAAGACCCAGCCUUCCUGGCAUCCAGGAAGGAAUGUUUCCAAACAUCCAAGAAGUUUUCAAGGAACUUUCGACUGAUAACAAUGAGAUGCUGAACUCUGACUCCAACAAAAUGAACUUAAUUAAACAGAAAUACAACAGGGGUUUGUGUGUGGAUGAGUCCCAUGGACUGUGGCAUCAGCUGACCACGUGUCCAAUAUAUCCCAGUUGCAUACAUGGCUCAUGAUACCGAAAUUCCAUCUCCAGCCCAGACUUCUUCCUUUGAGCCCGACUCAUGACCAACUGCCUACUCAACAUCUCUACUUAAGUAUGCAGCAGGCAUCUCCAACUUUUAACAUGGUCAAAACCAAACUCUUGAUCUUCUCCAACUCAGUCCUCCUCCAGGCUUCAGCAGCUCAUUUAAUGGUGGCUCCAUCCUUCCAGGUGCUCAGGCUGAACCCAGAGGCAACCUUGCCUGUCUCUUCCUCUCAGGUUCCACAGCCCAACAUCCAAGAUAUACAGCUCUACCUUCGAAAGAGCUCUUUCCCGACUCCAACUGCAUAACACUGCCAUCCCACCGUCCUCCUGGUCAAAGCCACUUUCACCUCUUGCCUGAAACAGCAUGGACUCUGCUGCUGGUCUCCCUCCUUCUGUCCCUGGCACUCUCUGGUCUAUUUUCCGCAUAGCCGCCAGAGGAAUCUUAAUAAAUCCUGAGCAGACCGUGUCA